rnacentral:lncRNA from 1 species
AUUUAUUGUAUGAUGUCAAAUAGAAUGAGAGUUUGAGUUGAAUAGAAACAUAAAUUAUUAGAAGCAUGAAGAUGUACCCUAGAGAGGUUUCAGAGACACCAGUAGAUUCAGCUAUAAGAAGACCUCCUUGAGAAGUCCUCUGAGAGUAAUACAAAGUAGUAUGGGGUUGAGGUGCAUUGUGGUAGAAUCUUUGUCUAGUCAAUGGUGCCAAAACAACUCUGAAAAUGGGAAUGGUUAGGAAGACAUAGAAAAUUUGAAAUUUAAUGGAAUAGUAAGUAAAGUAGUGUGUGUGAAGGUAUGUGUAUACAUACAUACCUAUGAGAUAGAUUAAAUUUUCCCAUCUUGUAAGGAGUAAGAAGAGGAAUGGGAUCAACCGUUAAUGCACCAGCCAUUUCCAUGUAUUGGUUGAUUAUUAUGUUCAAGAAAACAAUUCACUAUGAAGAGGUUGUGUAUUUCUAUUUUUUUUUUAUACCAAAUGAGGUGUAGUUUCAUUAAAAAGAAAAAAUAUGAUACAAC